AACAAACGCUGGCGGCAGGCCUAACACAUGCAAGUCGAGCGGAUGAGGGAAGCUUGCUUCCCGAUUUAGCGGCGGACGGGUGAGUAAUGCCUAGGAAUCUGCCUAUUAGUGGGGGAUAACGUUCCGAAAGGAACGCUAAUACCGCAUACGUCCUACGGGAGAAAGUGGGGGAUCUUCGGACCUCACGCUAAUAGAUGAGCCUAGGUCGGAUUAGCUAGUUGGUGAGGUAACGGCUCACCAAGGCGACGAUCCGUAGCUGGUCUGAGAGGAUGAUCAGCCACACUGGAACUGAGACACGGUCCAGACUCCUACGGGAGGCAGCAGUGGGGAAUAUUGGACAAUGGGCGAAAGCCUGAUCCAGCCAUGCCGCGUGUGUGAAGAAGGUCUUCGGAUUGUAAAGCACUUUAAGUUGGGAGGAAGAGUUGUAAGCUAAUAUCUUGCAGCUUUGACGUUACCAACAGAAUAAGCACCGGCUAACUCUGUGCCAGCCGCCGCCGUAACAC
rnacentral:rRNA from 1 species